CGUAAGCUGCCAUUCAUCUUUGAGGACGAGGAAGGCGACCAGGCUGGAGAAACAGGGGCGAGGCAACACCGAAGAAGAAGGGGUUGUAGAGAGAAGUCCAUAAAAAUCAGUGAAGAGAGAGGGACAAGGGAGGCGACCAUGCUGUAAAAAGAGGGGCGAGACAGCACCAAAGAAGAAAAAAGGCUGCUUAGAGAAGUCCACAAAUCAGUGGGUGUGGAGAGAGAGUGUGUGUGUGGAGUUUUCAGCGGCUCUGACUAAAUUAGGAAUCACAAAUUAUGGAUCAAAAUCAUUGAUUUCUCUGAUCACAACAUUGGCAACUACCCUAAAGAGGGUUAAUUUCCUAAAAACAAUUGUUGAGAGCUUUAGCUAUUGGACCCACCAUUGAACCUUGACAAGAGGUUGUUGGAGUGCAUUGGUGAUUCAAUGGUGGUAAAAAUGUGGAAUCUUGAUUUCUGGGUUGGUGUAGUGAGGAUUUCGAGAGAGGGAACCUCUAUUGAGUGAAACUUUGGAAGUGAUAAUGGAGGAGGAAGAGGAGGAGGAGGAUUAGUCAGCUAUGAUGGGCUUUUGGUAGGGUUAGAUAAUUGUUAUUGUGCUAGUGAUGGAGUGGAGGGCUGCUGGUGGUGAUUGAUGGAAGAGAGGGUGAACACAGAGAUGUAGAAUGAUGUGUAAAAGAAGCACGUUGGGCUUCUAGAUCUAUGUCUUUUCAUUUCAUCGACUUUUUUUUUUUUUUUGGAAAACCAGAUCGAUGGAAGAGAAAAAGGAUGAGCACAGAGUUGUAGAGAGAAUGAUAUUCAGAAUAAGCACUUUGGGCUUCUGGAUCUGCAGUUUUUAGUUCGAUUUUGAUGACAGAGGAAUGUUUUGACCAGAUAAUUUUCUUCUCAUUAUUUGAUGUUGUUCUGUCCGAAGUCUUUUUUCAUUGGAUGCUGUCUUUUUAGUUUCACCUCAGAUCGUGUUAUGUUGCAUUUCGUUGUUCUUUACACCUAUUGUUUGAUUAUACCUGUUACUGCACUUGUGCUCAUAUUUUUUC